rnacentral:lncRNA from 10 species
CAAGAAGGAACACAUUCCGGGAAGGCAAGGAGCCCUGCCAGCACGAAGGCAGCAGCGAAAGCAGGGCUCUGCUGGGUACCAGGUGUUCCUUGGCUCUGUGGAGGUCAGGCACGCAGGCGGAUGAACUCAGGUUUCUCUAGAAUAUCAUUUCAGAGGCUUAAAUGCCUCCCACCCUCUCGCUGUCAGCGGACAGGGCAUGUGGAACUGUUAAACGUUAAAACUCUCUGCUCUGGGGCCCAGCCCGUGCUCUCUAAAUAAAGGUAGGAGCGGAAAGAGUGUUGUUGCCAUCAUGAAAUCACACUUCACAGGAGCCAGAUUUCGGCGAUUCUGUGUCUAAGAGAAAAUGCUAAUCCAAACAAGGGCAGGUUGGAGAAGAGCCUGGGAUUUCUAUGCCCUAGAAACUGCACUCUCCACCCUUGCAGCCCAGAAACACAAACACACACACACUUGUUCUCCACGCCUGCCUUCCGAGUGGCCAGAGCUGGGGGAAGUCUGGAGAGCCCUCGGAAACGCCGUCCUUUCAGAAUCAGCGCUGGCCCUUCCCCAGGUGAUGAGAGAAGAGAGCGAGGAGGACCAAAGCGGAAGCGGAUAGAGCCAUUCUUUUCGGGGCAAAUGGCCACACAAGCCUUCCUGAAGAUUCCCUUCUUACUUUGGAUAGGACACAGGACUGUUCAGAGAAGCUGUCUUUCUGUGCAUUUGUUGGUUGCUAGGGAAAAACAGGCCCAUAUCAGGAAGGGGGCUUCAUGAGGACACCUUUCCCUAACAGCCCCACCAUGCCCAUGGCCGCUGCCUCUGGCCCCCACCCAAGACUGGCCCUGAUAUUGAGGGUGACACUGAAAAUGUCACAGUUCAGAGGCAGCAGCGCAGGCAGAGGUUCUGGGAUGGCUGACGGAGUAGGCGGGUCUCACACAGCGUCUUUCCCGAAAGCCAGAAGUUCUGCUUAUGCCUAGGCUGGGAGGAAAAUCAACCUGUCUACCUCAUCUCCAGUGCCAGGCAGCUCGUAGGCCAGGCUGAGUGAGGCCUCUAGCCCCACCCUUGAGGAGGCACACUGAGAGGGAGGACCCUGAGACUCGCUUAUGCCGAGAACAAAAGUGUCCAAAGUACCCGCGCAGCAUGACUGUAAACCAUCAGGUUCCGGGAAAGUAGGCUGAGCACAGGAGGCCUUAUCAAAGCUCAGGAGCUGAUGCGCUGAAGGUGUGGGAGGUGGACGCCCAUCAGCCUACAGGCUACACAUCAAUAAAGCCUGAGCCGUCAAGCCAGCCCCAACCAAGUGGGCCCAGGGGCUGACCAAGAAAGAGAGGGUGGCCAAGAAGCAGGGCCGUGCUGGGGCAGUGUGGUGGUCAGGAACAGGUAACAAGGUCACGUGCAGUGGUCCUGCUGCAGAUUAGGAGCUGGAGCCUGGAACCUACAAAUCUCAAUGCUCAGUCACCCUCCGCUCUGUGACUGAGGCCAGCCAAAGUUCUCUUCUUCAAGAACAGAGUUUUCGCCUCAGCCCAAGAUCUGCCAGGACCCUCAGAGAUUGAUUCAGCCUCACCCGCUCCCACCAUACCAUUGUACAGAUUAUGAAACUGAGACCUGCCAAGGGACAGGCUGUGUCCGGUCCUACAGUGAACAGCCAGUGACCUCACCCACAAAAUCAGCCCAGCCAUGGCCAUGUGGCCUGGUUACCUCUGUCCUCAACCUUAGAGAGGAUUUUGCCACACAUAUCAACAUAUACCUACAACAGUCUUGUGAAGUGACAGAUUUUGCUAGAGAUUUGACUCUCAAAGUUGAUUUCUGGAUUUAUUUGGUUCCAUCAUGUCACAUUUCACAGAGGUUUUUUUUUUUCCCUUGAUUUUUAAAGAUUAUAGAAAAUAUGAAAAAUAUAUAUAAGAUCAAAAUCACCUAAAGAUUCCCCAAAAAUCACCCAAAUAAAAAAUGUAUGAUAAACAUAUAACCUAUGUAAAUGGUUAUAUAAUCUAUAAUUUGUAUACCCUAC